AAUGGGCGAAAGCCUGAUCCAGCCAUGCCGCGUGUGUGAAGAAGGUCUUCGGAUUGUAAAGCACUUUAAGUUGGGAGGAAGGGCAGUAAGUUAAUACCUUGCUGUUUUGACGUUACCGACAGAAUAAGCACCGGCUAACUCUGUGCCAGCAGCCGCGGUAAUACAGAGGGUGCAAGCGUUAAUCGGAAUUACUGGGCGUAAAGCGCGCGUAGGUGGUUCGUUAAGUUGGAUGUGAAAGCCCCGGGCUCAACCUGGGAACUGCAUCCAAAACUGGCGAGCUAGAGUACGGUAGAGGGUGGUGGAAUUUCCUGUGUAGCGGUGAAAUGCGUAGAUAUAGGAAGGAACACCAGUGGCGAAGGCGACCACCUGGACUGAUACUGACACUGAGGUGCGAAAGCGUGGGGAGCAAACAGGAUUGGAUACCCUGGUAGUCCACGCCGUAAACGAUGUCAACUAGCCGUUGGAAUCCUUGAGAUUUUAGUGGCGCAGCUAACGCAUUAAGUUGACCGCCUGGGGAGUACG
rnacentral:rRNA from 1 species